AACGAACGCUGGCGGCAUGCCUAACACAUGCAAGUCGAACGAGACCUUCGGGUCUAGUGGCGCACGGGUGCGUAACGCGUGGGAACCUGCCCUUAGGUUCGGAAUAACUCCCCGAAAGGGGUGCUAAUACCGGAUAAUGUCUUCGGACCAAAGAUUUAUCGCCUUUGGAUGGGCCCGCGUUGGAUUAGCUAGUUGGUAGGGUAAAAGCCUACCAAGGCGACGAUCCAUAGCUGGUCUGAGAGGAUGAUCAGCCACACUGGGACUGAGACACGGCCCAGACUCCUACGGGAGGCAGCAGUGGGGAAUAUUGGAAAAGGGGCGAAAGCCUGAUCCAGCAAUGCCGCGUGAGUGAUGAAGGCCUUAGGGUUGUAAAGCUCUUUUACCCGGGAUGAUAAUGACAGUACCGGGAGAAUAAGCGCCGGCUAACUCCGUG
rnacentral:rRNA from 1 species